ensembl:lncRNA
CUGCAGUGUUUUUUGCUGCUGACACUCUGAACUGAAUCCGGUUGCGGUGUUAAAAUAGAAACAUCCAGAAGACAUGACAUCACUGAUUGUGGAAAUCUGCAUUUCCCUUGAUUAGAAUGCUAGCAUGCUGUACACAUUGUCACUACAGAGGCUGGUGUGUGUGUUUGUGUUUGUGUGUGUUUGAGAGAGAGAGAGAGAAAGAGAGACAGAGAGAGAGAGAGAGAGAGAGAGAGAGAGAGAGAGAGAGAGAGAGAGAGAGAGAGGUUAAAUGGAAAGAGUUAUAAAACAAAGCCCCCAAAAUCAAAGUAAGAAAGAAAGAAAAAUAGAAAUGAAAAUCCAAAUAAAAACACUCAUAUAAGUAAUUAAUAAGAAAAUAAAUAAUACAUAAAUAUACAAAUCAGCCGAAUACAUAAACAGUCAGACAAACAAACAAACAAAAACAAGACACAUGGAUUAAUUUGUGUUUUUAUUGCAACAUUUUAAACAUUUCAUGUUUGUAUCGUAAUGCAGAUCUGUAUGCCAAUUUUGCACUUCUGAGCUUUUUCUCACUUAAUAUUUUUCUGUUUUUUUUUUUUUUUAUGUAAACACCUUUAUAUGACAACACAGAAGGAAGAACGGAGUGAUCAUGUGGCCUUGACCUGAUUUUUGUGAUUGAACAGGUACCACAGUUCAGUCAUUUCUGGGUCAAUAAAAGUACAAAUUAAGCUAAAUAAUAAUAAUAAUAAUAAUAAUAAUAAUAAUAAUAAUAAUACAUUAAAUUUUCAUUCGUGUGUGUGUGUGUGUGUGUAAAGAUUAGACCGACAACAAUUAUUCCAGUGCUUGAUUAAUUAUUCAUCGAAACAGCAGUCAAUUAUUCAUUUCAAAAAGUCAUCUUCUUGUUUUUUUUUUUUCCCAGAGCUUACCUUUUCUAGGCCGUGUGCAACACACACACAAAGAUAAAGAGAGAUAUGUACAGAAAGAGAGAGAGAAAGAGAGAGAGAGAGAGACAGAGAGAGAAAGAAAUUCUGUCAGAAUGACUUGGGUGUGUUUUGUGCUGCUACUCUUGCGGACUUGCUUCAGAAACCUGGAACAUCAAAAUAUAAAAAAACACACCAACCAACCAAACAAAAAAACAACGCUGCUUCUGAUGCUACUUUUGCAUCGCUGUGGACUUGACCUCUUUAAAGAGAGGGCAAGAGAAAGAUCGAACAAGAAAGAGAGCGUGCACAUACAGUCGUUUCCUUCCAAUAACAAGUCAGUCCUUCCUCCUAACAUCAGCAUGCUGAUAAAAUGGCUACAUUUGUAUGUGUGUGUACUGAAUGUAGCAACACACUCACUCGCAGCUCACUGAGCAAUGUCUGACGUGGUUCAAAUUUCUUGGGCGCGGCAGAAGCCGAGUGUGUGGAACGUAAAGCGUUCGAGAGAGCCUUUGGAUCACACGCUCUUCGAGAUCACACGUGCGCCGCGUUCUCUAAUUGUCUGUCGUGUUUUUCAUUUCCAUUUGCUGUGUGUUUGUGUGUGGGUGCAUGCACAAAUCCUGGCAAGCUAAAUAUGACAGACUUGGUUGUGGUGAGAAUAGCACAUUCCAUGCUGAGCCUCAGAAACACACACACACACACACACACACACACACACAUGGUCACCCAGAAAUCUCCUCAUGGAUCUCCUCAUUAAAAUGAUCCAUUCAUGACAUCAGUGAUUCUUUAAUGUAUUAGCUAUUACUACACACGACAGCGCACGUUUCAGAACCGUGAACGUUCCUGAGGCCUGGGUGUUUUUUGGCUCAUAAGCAGCGAUGUAAAUGCACACGCACAGGUGAUAAUUAUGCAAAUGGAAUCGGCACUUAUAGUCCUCGUGCUGUUCUGGACCAGGCGCUAUGUAAUGAUACCUCACAUUAGCUGCCCACGCUGUGAGGAAACAGACUGAGGGGGAAAAAUAAAGAAUGAAACCUGAAAGGGUCGAGCUCAUCAUGUGUGUUUAUUCCUUAAUGCUUUUACUAUCUGCAUUUUUAAUUCUCAGUACAACACAGAGAGGGCGUGUUGCUCACGUGAUUCAACGUCACUGUUACAUGUCUAUAUUUACAUAUUCACAUCAUACACACACACACACACACACACACACAGACACACACACACACACACACACACACACACACAGUUUGAAAAAAGUUUAACAUCAAUCAUGUUUUGGGGACAUUUUUCUUCCUUGUUUUUUUUUUUUUUCCUUUUUUUCGUUUUGCUAUACUCAUUUUUUUUCCAUUUCACAAAUUUUUCUUUUUACUCUCUUUAUUUAUUAGUUUUUGAAAAACUUUAACACCUGAAAUAAUUUGAGCACUUUUUUUUCUUACUUAUUGGGAAGUUGAUUUCCAUUUCCCCCCAAUUUUUACUAUAUUGAAUUUUUAAAGAAUUUUUAUUUUACUGGACUUUUCUCUUUUCUUUCUUUCUUUUUUAUUUUUAUUCUAUUCUCUUUUAUUCAUUUUUAUUUUCAUUUUACUGACAUUUCCAUUUUCUCUAUAGACAUUUUCUUUUUUUUCUCUACUCAGUUUUUAACACAUGUUUUGGGGACUCCCCCCCCCCCCCUUUGUACUGUAACUCUAACACCAAAGAUUUUUCCCUUUUAUACUUUUUAUACUCCCUUUUAUCUAUUCAAAUUUUUUUAAAAAAAUUUAAAGGAUGUUUUUUUUUUGUUGUUUGUUUGCCUUUUUCCAAGGUUACUGGGAUUAACUUUUUAUU